GUUUUAUUGUCUAGUUUUUGUUGUUUGUAGUUGUGUUGUGUCGUUUUUUGGUUCAUGUUGUGGUCUUGGGCUUGCCAUGUGUGUUUUUGUUUGUUAAAUUUUAUGCUCCUAGUCUUUGUUUUUGUGUGUUUCACUAAGAUAAAUAGAUUUCUGCACUUGCAUCUGCCUCUGCUACCAAUUCCCAGACACAGGUUAUACUUGAGCUGGCAUGGACUUCAUGAGUUUGUGUAAAACCUGAUUCAUGUUGGAUCAAAACCAUAGGGGGGUUGUCUGACCACCUUCAACAGAAGCGGUAACCUUCAAUCUGUGCCCAUGAUAUUCUUGUUCUUGGCUGGCAGGAGUGGAAUCCAAUGUGGUCAUCUGCUUUUGUAGUCCAUCCACCUCAAGGCUCAAUGUUUUGUGCAUGCUGAGAUGCUUUUCUGCUCACCAUGGUUGUAAGGAGUGAUUUGAGUUACUAUAUCCUUCCUGGCAGCUUGAACCAAUCUGGCUCUUCUCCUCUGAUCUCUCUUAUCAACAAGGUGUUUCCACCCACGCAACUGUUGCUCACUCGCUAUUUUGUUUUGUUUUGUUUUUCCACACCAUUCUGUGUAAAUUCUAGAGACCAUUGUGUGUGAAAUGCCCAGGAGAUCAGCUGUUUCUGAAAUACUCAAACCAAACAAUAUGGCACCAACAACCAUGCCAUGGUUAAAUUUACUAAGAUCACACUUUUUCCCAAUUCUGAUAUUUGAUGUGAACAUUAACUGAAGUUCUUGACCUAUAUGAUUCUAUGCAUUGCACUGCUGCCACAUUGGCUGACUUAAAUAACUGCAUGAGUGUACAGGUGGUCCUAAUAAAGUGAACAGUGAGUGUAUGUACAGUAUAUUACUUUCAGACCCAGCCAGGGUUUUAGAGGGGAAAAAUAAAUAAAUUACACUAUUCCAUUUUUCCAAGUUUCACUACAGUAUCUAAAUAUGAAAACAUUGUUUCUUGUAGUUGCAAGAGGAAGAGUACAGUGCUUCAAAACAUAUAGCUCAUUAGCUAAAAAUACUAUAUAAAUUACAUCUAUCAUCUGAAGUUUAAGUGAGUCUGUAAACAAGUAUAAGUAUGCACAUUUAGAGUUUUACUCCUACACUUAUGGAUGCGCAUCUAUCACCUGGCACUCGCACUUAAACAGUAUACAGUACUCUCUACAAGUAAUUGGAUAGUGGAACAACUGUUUUGGCACAGUAGUCGAGCAUAUUAAACGUGUGUGUACAAUGCAGGUUUUUUUUUUUUUUUUGUUUUGUUUUUUGUUUACUAUUUCUUGGUCUAGAGAAUUUAAAAAAAAAAGUUUGGACUAGAUUCCAGUUUCCAGGUAAAGUGGUGUUUGCAACUAUAACCUGUUGUCCCUCAAAAGGAGGACCAAAUUAAUGUGAGUCUCAAUAAAAAAAAAUAGUUCAUCAGGA